CUUUUUUGUCUCUUAAAAUGCUGGGAUUACAGGCAUGAGCCACCAUGGCCCACCUGGACUCCUUUUUAUAGGAGAUGGAGACUGGGCUGGAAAUAGGUAACUUACAAGGCAUCUUACUGUGACCAUAAGAGAAUAAGAAUAAUUUCAUUUGAAAUCAGCAGCUGAAGUCCACCUGAAUAAUUAAAUCUUGCAUUUCUGCUAUUUUCACAGGGGAGACAGUUUUUUAUUAUUAAGAAAGUAGGAAGCUUGGUCCAGCACAGUGGCUCACGCAUAAUCCCAGCACUUUGGGAGGCCAAGUUCCUGGGAUAAUAGUCACUAAGGAAGAGGAUAGAGACUAGAACUGAAUGAGAUGGACACAGAGAUCGCCAAGAGAAGCAUCGUCCUCUGACAAGUCAUGGGGUCAUGUGUGGUGGAUGGUGACAUGGCAUCUUCAGCUCAGAGUCCAGCUGGGAGCUCAGAAGCAAGGUAACUGAAGGGAAAAGAAAUUUCUGAGUACCUAGUGUGUGUAAGAUGCUUCACAUUUAUUAUUUCACCUAACCUCUACACAACCUGAUGUGACUAUUACUGCUGUCAAGGUGGGAUUCAAAGCAGGUUUUUUUCUAACCUCAUAAUUCUUGCCAGACUGGACUAGCCCUCUGGUUCUGGAACAUAAAUGUUUUCAGGCACUGUAGUGUGCAAGAGGUCAGAGCCUAAAGCUUUAUUAUUUUUUAAUUUCUCCACCAUGUCAACUCUGUUAAAGGGAAGCCCACCAGAGGGAAUUGUACCCAUUUGGGGGCUACACUCCCUUGGGGCCCUCACCAUGCUUCCCUGUCUUCUCUAUGCUGCAGCCAAGCUGAACUUCUGGGUUUUUAAAUGUAACUCACUUACCUUCAGGCCCUUGUACAGGGAGUUCUUUUUGCCUGAAAUACCUUCUAACAUCUUAACAUCACACUUAGAUGUCAGUUACAAAAAGCUUUUUCGAGUCUCUCUCACAUGUCCCACUCCACACUCCUAUGUCCCUUCCCACCAAAGUACUUGGGUAGGCAUCCUGGUAGGUACUUCCACUGCACCUUCUGCUUCCCCUUUCCUCAUGAUUACCACUAUAUUGUAAUUGCUUAAUUUCUUUUUCCUAUACCCAGAUAAAGGUAUACAUGAAGGUGGA